UACGUAGGGGGCAAGCGUUGUCCGGAUUUAUUGGGCGUAAAGAGCGUGUAGGCGGCCAGGUAGGUCUGCUGUGAAAACUCGAGGCUUAACCUCGAGCUGUCGGCGGAAACCAUCUGGCUAGAGUCCGGAAGAGGGGAAUGGAAUUCCCGGUGUAGCGGUGAAAUGCGCAGAUAUCGGGAAGAACACCCGUGGCGAAGGCGGCCAGCUAGACCAGUUCUGACACUGAGGCGCGACAGCGUGGGGAGCAAACAGG
rnacentral:rRNA from 1 species